ACAAAAAACAACAACUAUAUUUCUACAUGAUAUUAUAAUUAAAAAAGCAACCAGUCCCUGAAGUCCUCUUAUUGGUGGAUGCAUUCAUGGAAACUGCAUUAUGGGACGACGUGAUGAAGUCAUUAAGAAGCUUACAGACGUUGGGGCAGAUUAGAUUUUGCUCUUCUAAUCCAACAGAUUAUCACUGCACACAACUCUACUUACCAGUAGGGCUUUACAUUUCAACACAAUUCUCUGCAUUUUCUGCAUUCUUACCUGCAAAACAUUUCAACGAGGACAAAAUCUUUUACAAAGUCUGCAGGAAAUGGACUGACCACGAAUGGGAUUUAUGUCAUGUGGCAAAGCAUAAUUUUAUUAGAGUCAAUGUGGAUGCCGUGCUUUAGAAAAUACUACACGCUUUCACUAAUGGAUACAAGUGCUCAUCGGUUUGGCAGCUGAGCAGCAGUGACAUCAAUUUCUACAAACCUGGUGUGUGGUGUGUGCUGGGAAGACAUUCAGCACUUAUAAGAAGAGAUAAAUGGUAUCCUUAGCACCGUGUGGGGACAUGGAACCAGAAGCGAAAGAAGCAGAGGAGACAACGUUCGAGUCGGAGAUGUUUGUAAACACAGUUAGUGACAAACAGGAGGUGAAGAGUGAAGAAGCUAUUUUGCAGCCUUUGCAGGUGUUUCAAGAACCAACCAUGGAGUUGCAGAGAAUGAAUAUCACAGGAAAGGAGGAUGGGAACAAAACAGUAGAAGUCAAAGAGGAUGAAGAAGGUACUGAGACAAAAAAUGAAAUGGAUAAUAAAGUGACAGAAGGGAUGAAGUGUGUUGAAAACUUAAGCAACAUGCCAACAAACGCAAAUGACUCAAGCAGCAACCCAACCAAUGAGCCCAUCUCCUCAAAUUCUCACACCAGCCCACCUGAGAACAAAGAAUCAGACAUAGAAGACUGCAGAAAACUGACAAAGACUCCCAGCUUUGGGAAAACAGUUCGUUUUAAGGAAAUUGAAGCAGUGGAAGAAAGGGACAGCUCAGUGGACAAUCUUUUUCCAGACUUUGAGACAGAAGAGUGGACCACCACCAGCUUUGAAAAGAUGUUUCUGGCAGAUGACUGGAAGGACAUUACAGAUGACCGUCUGCUAAGGAAGAAGGUGUUACAGGCCAGUCCCGAGAAUGCCCUGACCCCGGCUUGGGGUCAGCACACUCACACACACUCUCUCUCUCUCUCUCUCUCUCUCACACACACACACACACACACACACACGCACGCCCUCACACGCACACACACACACACACACACAAACACUCACAAGAAGCCCUGGAACACCUACCUGCAUCCUGCCUAUCACCUCACACCUGCUGCCUGUUGA
ensembl:lncRNA